CCUACGGGAGGCAGCAGUGAGGAAUAUUGGUCAAUGGACGAGAGUCUGAACCAGCCAAGUAGCGUGAAGGAUGACUGCCCUAUGGGUUGUAAACUUCUUUUAUAUGGGAAUAAAACGUUCCACGUGUGGGAUUUUGUAUGUACCAUAUGAAUAAGGAUCGGCUAACUCCGUGCCAGCAGCCGCGGUAAUACGGAGGAUCCGAGCGUUAUCCGGAUUUAUUGGGUUUAAAGGGAGCGUAGGUGGAUUGUUAAGUCAGUUGUGAAAGUUUGCGGCUCAACCGUAAAAUUGCAGUUGAAACUGGCAGACUUGAGUACAGUAGAGGUGUGCGGAAUUCGUGGUGUAGCGGUGAAAUGCUUAGAUAUCACGAAGAACUCCGAUUGCGAAGGCAGCUCACUGGACUGCAACUGACACUGAGGCUCGAAAGUGUGGGUAUCAAACAGGAUUAGAUACCCCAGUAGUC
rnacentral:rRNA from 1 species